rnacentral:tRNA from 1 species
UUGAGGAGAAUGGCCCAGAGGUAGAGCAUCUGCUUGGCAUACAGACGGUCCCAGGUUCAAUCCCCAGGAGGUAAU